UGAGGAAUCUUGGGCAAUGGGCGCAAGCCUGACCCAGCAACGCCGCGUGGAGGAUGACGGCCUUCGGGUUGUAAACUCCUUUUCCCAGGGAGCAGCAAGGAGCGUACCUGGGGAAUCAGUCACGGCUAACUACGUGCCAGCAGCCGCGGUAAUACGUAGGUGGCAAGCGUUAUCCGGAUUUACUGGGCGUAAAGGGUCCGUCGGUGGGUGGCUAAGUCUGGUGUGACAUCUCCUGGCUCAACUAGGAGGGUGCGCCGGAAACUGGUCGUCUUGAGUCACACAGAGGAGCGCAGAAUUCCCGGUGUAGUGGUGGAAUGCGUAGAGAUCGGGAGGAAUACCAACGGCGCAAGCAGCGCUCUGGGUGAGGACUGACACUUCAGGACGAAGGCGUGGGGAGCGAACAGG
rnacentral:rRNA from 1 species